rnacentral:lncRNA from 1 species
CCGGAGCUGAACAAGUCCAUUUAUUGGGCAACGUUUACUCCUGGCUUCCCCUCCCACCGAUGCUCUGUGAGGCCUUUUUGUAAACAUAGAGGCUCUUACCCACACAGAAUGGAGAUGAAGGGAACACGGAUAUUUUGCUCUAGUCCAUGGCGUCAGUCUGCUUAUAAAGGCAUUUCUACGGAAGACAGAAUGUCAUUGUCAAAUUCUAAAUCUUGGGACUGGGGUGGAUACCACCUCUGGAGAUUAAAGGAUGAAGAUCUCCCAUGA